rnacentral:rRNA from 1 species
GUUGAACGCUGGCGGCCGGCCUAACACAUGCAAGUCGAACGAGUGGCGGACGGGUGAGUAAUUUCUGGGAAACUGCCUGAUGGAGGGGGAUAACUCCUGGAACCGUUAGCUAAUACCGCAUACCAUCGGAUGUGCCCAGAUGGGAUUAGCUAGUAGGUGGGGUAACGGCUCACCUAGGCGACGAUCCCUAGCUGGUCUGAGAGGAUGACCAGCCACACUGGAACUGAGACACGGGCCAGACUCCUACGGGAGGCAGCAGUGGGGAAUAUUGGACAAUGGGCGAAAGCCUGAGGCAGCCAUGCCGCGUGUAUGAAGAAGGCCUUCGGGUUGUAAAGUACUUUCAGCGGGGAGGCGUUACUCGAAGAAGAAGCACCGGCUAACUCCGUGCCAGCAGCCGCGGUAAUUC